rnacentral:rRNA from 1 species
CAGUAGCCGCGGGAAUACGAAGGGGGCUAGCGUUGUUCGGAUUUACUGGGCGUAAAGGGCGCGUAGGCGGGCUGAUAAGUCAGGGGUGAAAUCCCGAGGCUCAACCUUGGAACUGCCUUUGAUACUGUUUGUCUUGAGUUCGGGAGAGGUAAGUGGAACUGCGAGUGUAGAGGUGAAAUUCGUAGAUAUUCGCAAGAACACCAGUGGCGAAGGCGGCUUACUGGCUCGAAACUGACGCUGAGGCGCGAAAGCGUGGGGAGCAAACAGGAUUAGAUACCCCUGUAGUCCCUGUCUCUUAUAC